AAAAAUACCCAACCAAGGAAACCCCGAACAAACAAAGAGACAAGCAACCAAACCUCCUUUUCUCCUCCUCCAAUUCUGAGAGCAAGAUUAACUGAUGAGACCCCAGUGUUUAUCUAGAGAACAGCUGUCCCAGGCUCCAGCAGACACAGGACUGCAGGAAUGGUUUUCAAGGCCAUCUUAUUCAAACCAAGAUGAAAGAAAUCUGGUUAUUGGUAAGAUUGUAGCACACAUUUUAACAAAGACCAGCCUGGUUCUCCUGAGCUUACUUGAUGUAAUAGAAGACAAAAAGAAUAGGAAUUUCACAAGAAAAAGACCUAUAGAUGACCGGCUACUCAAUAAGGGCACAGGGUGGAAAGAAGGAAAAAAUGCACUCCCAUCUGCUUCAAUCUUUCAAGAGUGUGAAUAUGAACAGACCAGCUGACUUCUGAUUUAAUCAAGCUCAACUUUCUAAAUUAUAUCUUUUUACAUAUCUAAAAUUUAAAAUUCUGCAUAUCUUGAAUUAUCUACAACUCAAAUACCAACACAGAGCUAGAUAAUGCCCAAGAUUUGUCUUCUUCACUUCUGAACUGAAACCUAAUUCAAGAACAGCUUUCUUUUUCCUGUCAAACAGGGCCUGAUUCAACUAUGUACUAGUAACUGCUAUGUACUAUUACUAAAGAAGUACUUAGAGUAAAAGCUUCCAUAAGUUUAUUAAAAUUUAAUUAUUUCCUACUGCAGGCAAGGUCAAUCUCUAAAACCAAUUGCAUACUACUUGGUGCCAAAUGCAUUCUACUGUAAUGACAGCUGCCAAAACAAUGAACAUCCCCAUUCUGCAAGUGUAAGCACAUAUGCUAUCCUAAAUUAAGUUUAGGAAAGAUCACAGCAAAAAGGGCUUCCAGGUAGAAAAUACAGUGUCAGAUUUCCUCAAAAACACAUAUUUGCCAAUAGAAAACACCGCCAAUUUCACAGAAAAAUAGAAGGUUGGACUAGCUCUGUUAAAUAGAACUGGCCACAAAAACUGGCUAUAUGACACAGCCAGGAACCAAAACUGAGCCAGAACUUGCCAAAGCUGCAGAAUGCCUUUUGUAGAACAAAUAGCUUUCCUGGGAUGCUUCCACUUAAGUAUUCCAUGCUCUCUCUUUUCUACAUGUUCCUAUUUUUCUUGGCUAUAAAGAUUCAUUAGAAACCAUACCAGGAAAACAAAGUAUUAUACGUAA